rnacentral:rRNA from 1 species
UGGCUCAUUAAAUCAGUUAUGGUUCCUUGGAUGCUACUCUGUUACAUGGAUAACUGUGGUAAUUCUAGAGCUAAUACAUGCAACUCGAGCCUCGUCCGGAGACGGUCGGGGCGCAUAUGUUAGAUCAAAACCAAUCGGCCGGUCGCAAGACCGGCCGUCCAGCUGGUGACUCUGAACAUACCUUCAGCUGAUCGCACGGCCUCCGAGCCGGCGACAAGUCUUUCGAAUGUCUGCCUUAUCAACUGUCGAUGGUAGGUUCUGCGCCUACCAUGGUCGUAACGGGUAACGGAGAAUCAGGGUUCGAUUCCGGAGAGGGAGCCUGAGAAACGGCUACCACAUCCAAGGAAGGCAGCAGGCGCGCAAAUUACCCACUCCCGGCACGGGGAGGUAGUGACGAAAAAUAACGAUACGGGACUCAUCCGAGGCCCCGUAAUCGGAAUGAGAACACUUUAAAACUUUUAACGAGUACCUAAUGGAGGGCAAGUCUGGUGCCAGCAGCCGCGGUAAUUCCAGCUCCAUUGGCGUAUAUUAAAGUUGUUGCGGUUAAAAAGCUCGUAGUUGGAUCUGUGUAUCGGACGGUCGGUUCGCCGCUCGCGGCGUCAACUGACCGGUUCGGACGUCCUGCCGGUGGUCGCGGCGGGGGCGUUAAAAACCUCCGCCCGGCCGACUAACUAUCCCUGCGGGCUGCUCUUAACCGGGUGGUCCGCCGGGCCGGCACGUUUACUUUGAACAAAUUUGAGUGCUCAAAGCAGGCCUACCGUCGCCUGAAAACUGUGUGCAUGGAAUAAUGGAAUAGGACCUCUUUUCUAUUUUGUUGGCUUUUCUGAAAUUAGAGGUAAUGAUUAAUAGGGACAGACGGGGGCAUUCGUAUUGCGACGUUAGAGGUGAAAUUCUUGGAUCGUCGCAAGACGGACGGAUGCGAAAGCGUUUGCCAAGAAUGUUUUCGCUAAUCAAGAACGAAAGUUAGAGGUUCGAAGGCGAUCAGAUACCGCCCUAGUUCUAACCAUAAACGAUGCCAGCCAGCGAUGCGCCGAAGUUCCUCCGAUGACUCGGCGCGCAGCUUCCGGGAAACCAAAGCUUUUGGGUUCCGGGGGAAGUAUGGUUGCAAAGCUGAAACUUAAAGGAAUUGACGGAAGGGCACCACCAGGAGUGGAGCCUGCGGCUUAAUUUGACUCAACACGGGAAACCUCACCAGGCCCGGACAUUGGAAGGAUUGACAGAUUGAGAGCUCUUUCUUGAUUCGAUGGGUGGUGGUGCAUGGCCGUUCUUAGUUGGUGGAGCGAUUUGUCUGGUUAAUUCCGAUAACGAACGAGACUCUCACCUGCUAACUAGACGCCAGGAUCCAAGAGCUCCUGGCGUAACACAUCUUCUUAGAGGGACAGGCGGCUCCUAGCCGCACGAGAUUGAGCAAUAACAGGUCUGUGAUGCCCUUAGAUGUUCUGGGCCGCACGCGCGCUACACUGAAGGAAUCAACGUGUGCUCCCUGCCCGAAAGGGCCGGGUAACCCGCUGAACCUCCUUCGUGCUUGGGAUCGGGGCCUGCAAUUGCUCCCCGUGAACGAGGAAUUCCCAGUAAGCGCGAGUCAUAAGCUCGCGUUGAUUACGUCCCUGCCCUUUGUACACACCGCCCGUCGCUACUACCGAUUGAAUGAUUUAGUGAGGUCUUCGGACCGGGCCCGNUGCUCCUUUCCGGGGGCGGCGGCGUCUGGAAAGAUGACCAAACUUGAUCAUUUAGAGGAAGUAAAAGUCGUA